GACGAACGCUGGCGGCGUGCUUAGCACAUGCAAGUCGAACGGAAAGGCCCUGCUUUUGUGGGGUGCUCGAGUGGCGAACGGGUGAGUAACACGUGAGUAACCUGCCCUUGACUCCGGGAUAACUUCAGGAAACUGGGGCUAAUACCGGAUAGGAGCUCCUGCUGCAUGGUGGGGGUUGGAAAGUUUCGGCGGUUGGGGAUGGACUCGCGGCUUAUCAGCUUGUUGGUGGGGUAGUGGCUUACCAAGGCUUUGACGGGUAGCCGGCCUGAGAGGGUGACCGGCCACAUUGGGACUGGGAUACGGCCCAGACUCCUACGGGAGGCAGCAGUGGGGAAUAUUGCACAAUGGGCGGAAGCCUGAUGCAGCAACGCCGCGUGCGGGAUGACGGCCUUCGGGUUGUAAACCGCUUUCGCCUGUGACGAAGCGUGAGUGACGGUAAUGGGUAAAGAAGCACCGGCUAACUACGUG
rnacentral:rRNA from 1 species